rnacentral:rRNA from 1 species
UUGGAUAACCGUGGUAAUUCUAGAGCUAAUACAUGCUGAAAACCGCAACUUCGGAAGCGGUGUAUUUAUUAGAUAAAAAACCAACGCCCUUCGGGGCUUCUUGGUGAUUCAUGAUAACUUUACGGAUCGCAUGGCCUUGCGCCGGCGACGGUUCAUUCAAAUUUCUGCCCUAUCAACUUUCGAUGGUAAGGUAUUGGCUUACCAUGGUUUCAACGGGUAACGGGGAAUUAGGGUUCGAUUCCGGAGAGGGAGCCUGAGAAACGGCUACCACAUCCAAGGAAGGCAGCAGGCGCGCAAAUUACCCAAUCCCGACACGGGGAGGUAGUGACAAUAAAUACUGAUACAGGGCUCUUUUGGGUCUUGUAAUUGGAAUGAGUACAAUUUAAACCUCUUAACGAGGAACAAUUGGAGGGCAAGUCUGGUGCCAGCAGCCGCGGUAAUUCCAGCUCCAAUAGCGUAUAUUAAAGUUGUUGCAGUUAAAAAGCUCGUAGUUGAAACUUGGGUCUGGCUGGCAGGUCCGCCUCACCGCGUGUACUUGUCCGGCCGGGCCUUCCUUCUGGAGAACCUCAUGCCCUUCACUGGGCGUGUUGGGGACCAGGACUUUUACUUUGAAAAAAUUAGAGUGUUCAAAGCAGGCCUUUGCUCGAAUACGUUAGCAUGGAAUAAUAGAAUAGGACGUGCGGUCCUAUUUUGUUGGUUUCUAGGACCGCCGUAAUGAUUAAUAGGGACAGUCGGGGGCAUCAGUAUUCAAUUGUCAGAGGUGAAAUUCUUGGAUUUAUUGAAGACUAACUACUGCGAAAGCAUUUGCCAAGGAUGUUUUCAUUAAUCAGUGAACGAAAGUUAGGGGAUCGAAGACGAUCAGAUACCGUCGUAGUCUUAACCGUAAACUAUGCCGACUAGGGAUCGGGCGAUGUUCUUUUUCUGACUCGCUCGGCACCUUACGAGAAAUCAAA